rnacentral:rRNA from 1 species
UACGGAGGGAGCUAGCGUUAUUCGGAAUUACUGGGCGUAAAGCGUACGUAGGCGGCUUUGUAAGUUAGAGGUGAAAGCCUGGAGCUCAACUCCAGAACUGCCUUUAAAACUGCAUCGCUUGAAUCCAGGAGAGGUGAGUGGAAUCCGAGUGUAGAGGUGAAAUUCGUAGAUAUUCGGAAGAACACCAGUGGCGAAGGCGCUCACUGGACUGGUAUUGACGGCUGAGGUACGAAAGCGUGGGGAGCAAACAGG